AGUCAUGAAUCGUGCGGCCUACGAAUAACUUUAGCUGCGGACUCUUUGCUUCUGCAAAAUAUUUGCACAAAAUAAAUAAAUAUUAGAGAACUCGCUUCUAGGCAACAUGUGGCGACCACUGGUGUUAAUGCUGAUAAUAACAGACCUUGUAGUGGCCGAUAUACCAGGAUGCGAUUACUUUGAUACAGUUGACUUAACGGAAUCCAAAAGAUACCCCAAUGGAUCAUUUCAAUACGAGAAUCUGAUAAUUCCAGCCGAGCAAACUGGUGAAUAUGACUACGAAAUUCUGGUGGAUGGUGAAAAGGAGUCGGUGAAAAAGCACCUGCGAGGAUGUGCCUGUAAACUGGGCGCCUGUGUGCGAUUCUGUUGUCAUAAAAAUCUGUUUCUGGUUCAGGAUCAACGCACCUGCAGCGGUGAUAUAAGCAGGGCAGUUGACUUUGAUCCCUAUGUGAGCAUUACUCAAAGCGAUGGCAAACAGGUGAUUAAACAUAUUCUCGAUGAUUUUAUCGUACAACGACAUCUGCCCGUUCCUUGCGCGGCACAUUAUCAUAUGGAUGCUGAGAAUGAAAAAAAUCAUAAUUGGACACUGUUCGAGGAUGGAACUUUGCAACGUCACUUUGAUCAAAUAAAUAUGUCGAAGCAGGAAUACUGCCUACAGCCUCAUCCAAUCAAGACUGGCGAAAAUGAGACAAUAAUCACACUAGUGCCACACAUUUGCGCGGUUACAGUUCCUAAUCAAUGGCUCCAAAAUAUACUUAGAGUGCUCUCGAUAAUUUUUUUAAUCCUUACAAUUAUCGUUUACCUUUCGCUGUCGAAACUGAGAAAUCUACACGGAUAUUGUUUCAUCUGCUAUAUGAUUUGCAUUGCUUUGGCAUUUGCAUUGCUACAAGUUGAUUCUUGGGGAGAUGAUUGGACAUUAGCGGGCUGUAUGGUAAAUGGCUAUGUGGGUUACUUUGCCGUAAUGGCUGGCUUCCUUUGGCUGACUGUCAUCAGCUAUGAUCUGUGGACCUGUUUUCGUGACAACAACUACAACAUUCAACGAUAUACGCCAAAAUAUCGCUUCUUAAUCUACAGUAUAUAUGCAUGGGGAGUUGGUGCUCUACUAACGAUCACUGUAAUCGUACUCGACCAAGUCUUGGAUGUUGAUGAUGACGAUCAAACGCUAUGGAGGCCGGGAGUCGCCUUUUACUCUUGUUGGGUUAAUACAAUGGAUUGGUCGGCGAUGCUUUAUUUCUACGGUCCAAUGGCACUUCAGAUCAUUUUCAAUUUAAUAAUGUUUACACUAACGGCUCGACGAUUUGCAGAGCUAAAGAGGGAGCUUAAGGUCGUUGCGACAGCGGAGGAACGUGAACAAUCGCACAAAUACAAUGAGCGAAGUUGCACUCAAUUUGUGCGCCUAUUUGUCAUUAUGGGCGUGGCCUGGACUUUCGAAAUCUUCUCAUAUCUUGCGGCAAGAUUGGAGUGGUCUCCGCUUGAGAGAAUCUUCGACAUUUCCGAUUACAUUAACUGUGCCCAGGGAAUCAUUAUAUUCGUACUUUUCGUUCUAAAACGCAGUGUGUUGAGACUCAUUUUGAAUCGUAUUCGAGGAAUCGAUUCAGCAGACGAUGGCAACCUUUCCGAACAAGAAGAAGAAAUUGCGUUGCACGAAAGGAAUGGUGGUGUUCAAGAGAUCGGGCCAAAAAUCUUGCAUUAGGUAAACUCAAUCUCGUUAUGUUUCUGUACUAAUUGGUAAGGGUUAACUCAUAGCUUUUACUAUUAAUUAUUAAUUUCUGUUUAUGUAAAGUGUUAUCCAGUUUGGUAACAGAGGUCUAACUAACCAAGCCAUUUGCGUAUUAUAUUUCAAUGUAUGUAAUUAGUGCCUUCUUUCAGAAUGCAUCAGGGAACAAACGGACACAAAACACUCAUAUUAAACAUAUAAAAUCAGUCGUUCCCUAAGAUCAUCAGAACAUUGAUAUUCUAACGAUAAAGAUAUAUAUUUAAUUUAUGCAUUUAAAAAGCAGGAAAAAGCCGACUCAGGAACACAAUUGGUGCCAGAAACUGGUUAUUUACAGUAAGCCAUUAUUUGCACAUAAAUCAAUGUAAAAUGAAAUAGUACUUUUCAUAUCUAACACACUAAUAUAUUUAAAAAUCAACUAUUUUGUUCCUCUUGCGAAGUGUUCAUUAACACAGUAUUUUCUUAAGAUGCUAAUUUAUGGAAAUUAAGUUGAAACUUUUUUACAAUAACGAAUACAUAAAUAAAUAUAGCUAUUUUUACAGAAUUUUUUAAUAUUAAGCACACUGUUUCCAAAGCACAUUUUAAUAAAGAAUAAACUAAUAUUUUAAUAAUACUGUGUUUUAUAGCUAGCUGAUUUUACUACAGUAUUAUGUGUGCAUGUGGAUGGAAAUUCGUUAAGAGAAAUACUUGUUUUUGAAGUAAAAUAGACUCCUCCCAAUUUACCCAUAAAUAAUACUGCAGAGAAAUUAUAUACUUUAUGGGAUCACAUAUGCUACCUUCUCAUAAUACCUUUUUAUAAAAUGUCGUUAAUUACUGAAAGUUUGCCAUUCACACACAACACAAGUAGUAUAUAAUGUAAAUAUAGCGACCUCCAUUCAACAACUCAACUCGUUUUAUUUUUGGAACACCUGUCAUUUUUAAAAUGAUCUACUUAUAGCAGAUUGACUAUAUAAGCAGUCACCUUCUCAGUUAAAAAUCAGUUCAAGCCACGCAGAGUUUGACAAGUUUAUUAAAAAUGAAAUUGAUUCUUAUCCUUGCUUGCCUUGCGCUCUUUGCGUCCUACAUUCAGGCCCAGUGUCGUGGUGCUGUUCCAAAUAACAAGGUUUCUUGCAUUGGUGGCAGAGAUCAAGGAGACCGCCGCAAUGAAGGCUGCCGCAGAAAUCUCAAUAAUCUAAUGUGGUUUUUUGACCCUAGAAUGGGCAUCUGCAGGCACUUGUACUAUUUCGGGUGUGGUGGCAGCGGCAAUCGCUUUUGCACUCGGGAAGAUUGUGAAAGGAGGUGCAGGCGUUAACAUUGAAUAUCUUGUGGCAUGUUGGAAUUGAAAUAAAUCAAAUGAAUGUGUUUAUGUAC